CGCGUAGGCGGCCUUCUAAGUCAGACGUGAAAUCCCCCGGCUUAACCUGGGAACUGCGUCUGAUACUGGGAGGCUUGAGUAUGGGAGAGGGAUGUAGAAUUCCAGGUGUAGCGGUGAAAUGCGUAGAUAUCUGGAGGAAUACCGGUGGCGAAGGCGGCAUCCUGGACCAUUACUGACGCUGAGGCGCGAAAGCUAGGGAGCAAACG
rnacentral:rRNA from 1 species